rnacentral:tRNA from 1 species
GGGGCCGUGGUGUAGCGAUUAACACAUCCGCCUGUCACGCGGAAGAUCGCGGGUUUGACUCCCGUCGGCCCCGCAA